GCGCGGUGUUCCUCCGGCAGCCCCGUUCAGCCCGCUCUCUGCCGGCCAGCAGGGAAAACCUUGCGGCUUUUUUAUCAGACUCGACGCGUUUGUUGGUUUAUCUGCUGCUCGUCAGGGCUCACACGUGGUAAUAGUGCGUAAAACGCCCGAGAAGUGGCAGAACUAAUGAAACAUGUUUGGGAGCACAUUUCAUGCAGUGGAAGUUUAAGAGAAAAAUACUGUACAAAAAUACCAUACAGAGAGUCUACUGUGAGAACCAGAACUAAAACACAGCCAUACACUUGGACAACAGAGGCAGCUCCCUUGUGGGCCACUUAGUUGAACUUGACUGAAGAAUGUCUGCCCCUGGCAAGAAAAAUAUUUGGUUUCCAGCAGAGAACUGGAAGUUUCUGUGCCAAAUGGGAGUGUUUCUAACAAGCUAAAACAGAACGAAGAUUAAAUUAUCAUGCUAGAACUGAAAGUUAUUACAUAGAGAAGGAAGGAACCAGUGUGGACUGCAAAUGGACAAAUACAGAAAGGGAGGAAUUUUCAAGGGAUGGAUUUCACUUACAUCAGCUGGUAGAAGCAAAGUUUUACUGAGGAAUGCUUACAAGAAAAUGAAAGACAACCUGCUGAAAACUAAAGACAGAGCACAUGGGAGAUGUCCGUAUGAGAAAUAAAGGAAGAAUAGGAAAGCUUACAGUGAAGACCUCCAAGACUUGUCUAGUAGAAUUCAGGCUGCACAAAAUAAAAGGAAACUGCUGUUGAAAGUGAUCUAUGUAUAGAAGAUGGGGGGAAGAAAGAGAAAGAUUUAAGGGUAAGGAAGAGAAGAGAGGGAACAGGGCAGAUGAAUAAAGCAUGAAGUGGAAAUGACAGAAGAUGGUGAAGGUGAGUAGACUGCAGAGUCAUGGUCAGUCAUGAAAGCAUGUGGGAAAAAUGGUGGCUGGUCAAAAACAGUUUGGAUGGUUAUCUCCUGGCCGGAUUGGUGUUUAAUGAAGAGAAAGCUAAACUACAUGGACAUUUUGGUAAGAAGAGCAAUUGCUUCAGAAAAAAAAAUAAGAAAAAAAUAUGUCAAAGCUAGAAUAAGGGAAGAGGUCAAAUGAGUGUUAAAAAUCAGAAAUGCAGUUUCCUUCCUACUUAAGAAAUUAAGAUGUUUGAUUCUGGGCUUCAUAUUGUGCUUCUGUCCAGUCACUUCCCUUUACCUCUAGUCUUCUCAAAAUUUGUUACUAGUGCCGCUUUCCACUCCCAAGAAAAUGUUCUUUCCUUCUCUUGGCUUCUUUAAAAGUCAAAUGCAACAUCUGGCAUUAGAUUUUGGUAGGAGUGUGGAUUCACUAGUUGAUAUGGCUGUAUUAAUAAAUGUGAUCAAAUGCACAAAAAUAUCAUUGUAAUUCAUUAUAAGGACAGGGAUUUUAUAGGCUAUAGAGAAUUUUUAAUGAAUUCACAGUUGAGCCUUCUGCAAUGAAAAAUGCCAUCCCAAGUACCAGAAACUGGUGAAGGAAGAAAGCAUGUCCCUGCUGCCCAGUAGCUGUGUGCAGUGUGAGGCUGUGGCUAGCCCUAGUCAUUUUAGUGUCAACACCAAGAAGUUGUCAUGAUGUGACACAGACAAAAGUUCUUCGCACUCAUCUCCCAGAUCCAGCAGCUCCUUACAAAUGUGAGACAUUCCCAGAAGAAGAAUUACUAGUAUUUUUUAUUAAUCACUUUAGUGUACAAAAUACUACUGUGCAUAUAAUCUGUUCUGCUUCCAUUUUUAAAGGACUGAAUUAAAUGCUUUUCAAUAGUUAUGAAGCAUGAAUAGCAGUCUGGGUAUUUAGGUGCUGCUGAACCUGAAAAUAAAUUCUAACUUGGAAAAC